UUAGUAACGCGUGGGAACGUGCCCUUCACUACGGAAUAGUCCCGGGAAACUGGGUUUAAUACCGUAUACGCCCUUCGGGGGAAAGAUUUAUCGGUGAAGGAUCGGCCCGCGUCUGAUUAGAUAGUUGGUGGGGUAACGGCCUACCAAGUCUACGAUCAGUAGCUGGUUUGAGAGGAUGAUCAGCAACACUGGGACUGAGACACGGCCCAGACUCCUACGGGAGGCAGCAGUGGGGAAUCUUAGACAAUGGGCGCAAGCCUGAUCUAGCCAUGCCGCGUGAGUGAUGAAGGCCUUAGGGUCGUAAAGCUCUUUCGCCAGGGAUGAUAAUGACAGUACCUGGUAAAGAAACCCCGGCUAACUCCGUGCCAGCAGCCGCGGUAAUACGGAGGGGGUUAGCGUUGUUCGGAAUUACUGGGCGUAAAGCGCGCGUAGGCGGAUUAGUCAGUCAGAGGUGAAAUCCCAGGGCUCAACCCUGGAACUGCCUUUGAUACUGCUAGUCUUGAGUUCGAGAGAGGUGAGUGGAAUUCCGAGUGUAGAGGUGAAAUUCGUAGAUAUUCGGAGGAACACCAGUGGCGAAGGCGGCUCACUGGCUCGAUACUGACGCUGAGGUGCGAAAGUGUGGGGAGCAAACAGGAUUAGAUACCCUGGU
rnacentral:rRNA from 1 species